GUGUAUUAUCGCCCAAACAUAUUUCAUAGUUAGGUUUAAACUCAAGCACUCAGUAUUCGUAUAGGCAAGUGUCUUUGUUAUAGUCAGGUGAACAGGUUUUCAUCACGAUGGGCCAGAUGACUCAAGCAAGCAUUAAAGUACGCAACUACAUGACAAACAAGAAUGUCUGGGCUGUUAUUGGUAAAAAUAAAACUGAUGUUGAAAUUGAAAAGUUUGUUAGGGGACACAAAAACAAUUCGGAUGAACCUGAUACAGUAAUAUUCGAUAUGAAAGGAUUCUUGGGCGUUAGAAUGAAAGCAGGUGAAGUCUUAAAGCCAGGUAUGAUGAUGGUUUAUCCCAGGAGCAAAGAACACUUCGUCAAGUAUGACAGAGGAAACUUUAUGUGCCACAACAAUUAUGUCUUUGCUACAGUUGCAAUUGAGGAUGAAGAAAACAAAGAACUUGAGUUUAAAUGGAAUAAAAAGAGGAUACGCAAAAAUAGCGAUAUUGUAAUCUCCGAAAACGGAAAUGUAAACCCAGAGUCACACAAAACUAGAUUUGAAAAAAAUGUGAUGAACUUUUUCCUCAUGCUUCCUGUAAUUAUAUUUUCCGUAAUAUUUAGGAUUUAUCUAGAGGAACAAUUCAGGCAGCUAUUUAACAAACAGAAACGCAGUGGACCUUGAAUAAAAAUCAGAACAUGCAUAUUAAUCAAAUAUUUGUUUUCAUGUACUAAUCAAACAGGUUUUUUAAAUUGCUUGCUUAAUAAUGCCAGAAGCCGAUACUUCUGAGUAUUAUGCCCUAUAUACUAGCCGAUGUUUGCAAUUUUACUAACUUUUGAGUCGCCUUACAGUUUAACUUUGUCAAUUUGAUCAUUUGGCUGAACGAUCUGUUUUUAAUAAAAACUUCUGUUUCACUAAGAAUUUAGCAACUUACCGGUAUAUUGAAGUAUAAAAUAUUUGCUUUGUCUGCUGUGCAAGUUACGACUAUGUAAACAUGUUGUACAGUUAUUAUCCUAAGGAAACGAAUAGUAAAAUCAAAAUGCAGAUCGUGUGGCAGUUUUGAAAGCAAAAAGUUUUGAUUAAGUAUAAAUAUUGUGAUUUUGUAUGCAUUUUAUUAAAACUAUCAUGGAUUUAAUCUCUCAUCAAGUUAUGUCUACAAAUGGAUAACAGCAUAAAUCAAAAGAUAAUUA
rnacentral:lncRNA from 1 species